UUAGUGGCGGACGGGUGAGUAACGCGUGAGCAAUCUGCCUUUAGGUGGGGGAUAACAGUCGGAAACGGCUGCUAAUACCGCAUAAUACGUUUUAAGGGCAUCCUUGAAACGUCAAAGAUUUAUUGCCUUUAGAUGAGCUCGCGUCUGAUUAGCUAGUUGGCGGGGUAACGGCCCACCAAGGCGACGAUCAGUAGCCGGACUGAGAGGUUGAACGGCCACAUUGGGACUGAGAUACGGCCCAGACUCCUACGGGAGGCAGCAGUCGGGAAUAUUGCGCAAUGGAGGAAACUCUGACGCAGUGACGCCGCGUGCAGGAAGAAGGUUUUCGGAUUGUAAACUGCUUUAGACAGGGAAGAACAAAGACAGUACCUGUAGAAUAAGCUCCGGCUAACUACGUGCCAGCAGCCGCGAUAAUACGUAGGGAGCGAGCGUUAUCCGGAUUUAUUGGGUGUAAAGGGUGCGUAGACGGGAUAGCAAGUUAGCUGUGAAAUCCCUCGGCUUAACUGAGGAACUGCAACUAAAACUACUAUUCUUGAGUGCUGGAGAGGAAAGUGGAAUUCCUAGUGUAGCGGUGAAAUGCGUAGAUAUUAGGAGGAACACCAGUGGCGAAGGCGACUUUCUGGACAGUAACUGACGUUGAGGCACGAAAGUGUGGGGAGCAAACAAAGAUUAGAUACCCUGGUAGUCCACACCGUAAACGAUGGAUACUAGGUGUUAGGGUGUGAUAAACAUUUCUGGGGCCGUCCCCAAACGCCAAUAAGUUUCCCACCUGGGGAGUACGGCCGCAAGGGUUUGAAACUCAAAGGAAUUGACGGGGGCCCGCACAAGCAGUGGAGUAUGGUGGUUUAAUUCGAUGCAACGCGAAGAACCUUACCAGGGCUUGACAUCCCUCUGACCGUCCGGUAACGCGGACUUUCCUUCGGGACAGGGGAGACAGGUGGUGCAUGGUUGUCGUCAGCUCGUGUCGUGAGAUGUUGGGUUAAGUCCCGCAACGAGCGCAACCCUUAUCUUUAGUAGCCAGCGGUUUGGCCGGGCACUCUAGAGAGACUGCCAGGGAUAACCUGGAGGAAGGUGGGGAUGACGUCAAAUCAUCAUGCCCCUUAUGAUUUGGGCUACACACGUGCUACAAUGGCGUAAACAAAGGGAAGCAGAGCCGCGAGGCCGAGCAAAUCUCAAAAAUAACGUCUCAGUUCGGAUUGUAGUCUGCAACUCGACUACAUGAAGCUGGAAUCGCUAGUAAUCGCAAAUCAGAAUGUUGCGGUGAAUACGUUCCCGGGUCUUGUACUCACCGCCCGUCA
rnacentral:rRNA from 1 species